rnacentral:lncRNA from 1 species
AUGUCCCAUCUCCUGCUGCCACAUGUGCAGGCAUAUGCAGGCCUGAACCCUGAGGUUCAUCGGAGUAGCCAGCUCUCUAACAGCAAUGGCUUCCCCCAUCUCCAACUGCAGCAAGCUGAGCACAGCCCAGGCGUGUUGUAUGCAGCAGGCGGCUUAUAUUGCAGCAGCUUCUGGCUGAGUCUCCAGUUCCCAACUCCCUGCAGAGGCACGGGGACUCAUGCACAACUGCUUCUGGUUUUCUAUAUUCUCUCAGGGAAUCUGAAGUAUUGGCUACAGACCCAGGCUUGCCUGCCACUUCAAGGUGCAGAGUGCCUUUAUAAGCUGGCCCUGAGAAGUGUCCAGUGUGUAGCUUCCACUUGUGCAGCCGGAGCUGUCACCCUGGUCCGAUCAGUCUUGGAGUGUGCAUUCAAUAAACCAACCCUGUUUAACUGA